CAGAAAUAGGAAACCUAAUCGGUUUAUAAAACAAAAGCGAAAAGAAAACCAAACAGUCCCUUCUAAUAAAAACCAACCUUUCCGACGAUCGAAUCUAUUCUUGAACAGUCAAGAAUACGCCAGUUCUUUCUUAGCAACUGCUCAUUCGUUUCGUCGUAACUCGUGACAAAAAUGGAGCCUUUACUCUGUCGCUUUAUUCUUUCGACAAUACCCUACGACAGUCUUCUUCCGCCUACAUCGCAACUGACCAAGGAAAUCCAUUUUGCGGCUUUUACUAAUCCCAGAUCCAACCCUAAUUGAACCACCUAGACAUAGGCAAUUGCUUCUGCUGCAAACCCAAAUGGUAUAUGCUCAUUUAGGCGCAUGGUAAAAUUUAGCACCCUCCCACUUGAAUCUCUGACUAUUACCCCUCAGCGUGAACUAUUGCUUUGUUUGUGAAACGCAGCAUCAAAGUUAAUUUUUACAAACGAUUCCUACGGCAGUCUCCAACACUCCCCCUCUAUUCUUUGUUCAGGUUAUACAUCAAGCAUUCAUAUGGGAGAUCACAAACAACUACUUUGAAGGAAACAAGAUUUAAGUAAAAGGUUAAAAGUUCCAACUCUCAAAUUUUAUUGUUAUAUUACCUUUGAAAUAUAUUGUUCGAACCUCUUGGUUUUUCUAAGUUGAACAUGCCUCAUUGGAAGAAUAAAAAAACUAGUGUGCAAGAACCACCGACGAUUUCAAUUCCUUUAAAAUUUAGAAACCAAAAUGCCAAAAAGUAUUUCCUUGAGCUUCAAGGCAAAACCUUUAUCUAGGAAAGGAGAUUUGAACCCUCGAUGGUUAUUUACAACAAAAUUUAGUCUUUAGUAAGGUAUUGUAUAUUGGAGAGAUUUUGUGUCACUCCUAAAAAAAAUGUUGUUAUUUCACUUGUCCAAGAGUUUUAUGUUGGUCUUAGAGAUGAAGAGAUAAGAAGGCCAUCUGGUGUCAGAUGGAAAAUAAUAACGGUAAGAGGUAAGGAUGUACCAUUCAACCCGGAAACUAUUUUUGAAUUUUAUGAUGCUUUGUACUGCGAAACUAAUUAUUUAGAAAAUAGUGAUUUAAAUAAAUUUGAGAACUUAGACAUGGAAAGCAUUGUAAAAUAUCUAACUAAUAAUCGUGGUGAAUGGAACCUCUGACCAGAUACAAGACUUCCGACAACCAAUUUCAACCAAGCAAUCAUGUUUCCAAUAACUAAUACGUGGAUGCAAUUUAUUUGUACUAGGAUAGCACCUACACUAAAUGUUUCUAACGUAAAUACUUUUAGAGCUAUAUUGUUAUAUGACAUCUUACAAAAGAAACAAAUAUGCAUUUGAGAGUGGAUCCAUCAAAGUAUGAAGUGUUGCGUCAGUAGCUAGAAUGUUGGGAUUUUCUUUCCCCAUCUAGUGAUGGCGAUUUGCAAAAGUGUAGAGGUUCCUAUGGAAGAGAAUGAGCAAUUCAUGUGCCCAACAAAGAGUUUAAUUGAUGAUUCUAUGUACACUUAGUAUGUGAACUCAACCGAAAAUAGAUUAUAGACUGGAACCAGAGGACAAAGGAAAAGAUAGAUGUCCUUCCCUCACUCAAAAGAAAAGGAAAUAUGACGCCACAAAGAAAAAUGAGUGAGAGUAGUGAAGCACAAAUAGACAGAAUGAUAUGAUGGAUACAAGAAAUGGGACCGAUCCUUCAAGAAUUCGCAAGAUGGAACAACAUAAGAGGUCCUAAUUAUUUGUUGGGCUUGCUGAAUUCAAUUCAAACUCAUCAUGAAGAAGAGGAGUAAGGGAGUGAAGAGGGAUGUGAGAAUGAAGAGGAAGGAGAAGAAGCAGAAUAAGAGGAACAAGAUUGAAGUGACAAUUUUAAAAUAUUGUAAUUAAUAAUUUUAGGAAUAUGAUUAACAAUAGAUUGUAUAUAUUUAUUUUGUGUCAAGUUUUCUGUGCAGGAAACCAACAUGAAGGAGCACAACAAUUUAAAACUCACAACGAUCAAAGGAGGAAGCACGCGCUAACAACUUACGAACAUACCACGGUCAAUUGGGUAACUUCUUUCCUUAUCUUUUCAGGGCUACACAUUAAGGACAAUGUGUUUUCUAAAGUGUGAGGGGUAACAUAGAAAAUUUAUUUCAAUUUUUAUGUUUUUCUUUUAAUUUUUUUUGUCAAUUGUGUGCUUGAGCUUGUAGAAAUAUAAGUGAUUUGUUACAAGCAUUUGCAUAGGUUGAUUGUAUUUACUAUAAAUUUGUCAUGAUAGUAGAUGAUUUUAAAUUUUUUAUUAUUAGACUACUAAGUUUUAUAUAUUACACUGUAAAUAAGCAUUAAGCAAUUGAAUAUACCAUAUGAUAUAAGAAAUACAGGGAAACGAGCAUGCUAGUAUGUAUGAUAAAUUGUUAGAUUUGUGAUUGUUUGGUUGAUUAAAUUUGUGAAUAUUGAGAUACCCAGGGAUGACCUAAGGUAUUGUUUGGUAUACACCGGACCUAAAACACUAAUCCUUUUUAUUCAUCCUUAAUACCAAUUUGAGCCAGAAAACACUUAUUUAACCUUCAUGCAAAACUCGAGCCAAAAAUAAUAAUUUGUUUUUACCCUUUUUCUUUGGUCCUGAACUGCACAACUAUAGAUGUCUAGCCAUACAUAUUGAGGGUUGAGUAGAUACAUUACGGUGAAAUUUUGUAAAAAUAGAGUGAAAUAGAAAAGUUCAGUGUGAUAGAAUAAUUAUAGGUUAGCUAAUAUGUGCAGCAAAAGAAAAAUUCAAAAAGAAAAUAAAAAACGAGUAGAAAAAGUUCUUGAGAGUAAAAGCAUUUGUCAAUGAGAAAUGUAUUGAAAAAGAAUAAGAAAAGGUGACAAAGUCACAAAAAUAUAGAGACUCAUUCAUUAGUUCACACAAACUUAUGAGCUAGCUAUAGCUUGUUAUAUUAUGUUGUGAUUUUCUAUAUUGUAAAAUAAGGAAGGUGAUAGAAGGAGAAAUAAGAUAGUGAGCGGGUAAGGGUCGCUAAGGGGGGAGAAUAAGGAACAAUAUGAUAUGCUAAACUAUUUUUGUGCUUGAAACUAUUUGACGGUUAUUGUUCUUGAGUUACAUACAUGUCCUAAGCCUCAGAACGUUACAAGCCAAAGCCCUAUAUGAUCUAGGUAGACUUAUUUACAAACUGACAUCAUAUUAAAUAAUUGCAUUUACAAUUAUUUGUUUUCAGCUAGGAUAAUCAAAUUACUUGUCUAACUUAUUCAUGGAUCCCUAUUUUUGAAACCUUUAAUGUUUGUAUGUUUUGUAAUAUACUAAACUUAGGUGUUUGAUAUUAAAAGGGGUAAGUUAGCUAUAUAUCAUAUCAAUAUUAUGUGUAUAUAUGAACCACCUAGUCAUGUUCUUCAAAACUAACAUUUUUACCAUAUUUGCUCAAGGGUCAUCUUUUAAUUAAUGUUUUUGUUUGCUUUACUUGAGGACAAGCAGUGGCUUAAGUGUGGGCGAGUUUGAUCUGCCGUAAUUCGGUGUAGCAUAUUAAACUAGUUUUCGCACUUGAGGAGCUUGAAUACAAGCACUUUUGUUAUGUUUUAAUUAAGUUUUUUUUAGUUUUGUUUUCAUCCAAUAAAAAGUGUAAUUUGAGUUCUUUAUUGACCUUAUGGCUCGAAUGAGGCCUAAGGGUGAGCUAAUAUACUUUGUAAGUGUCCAGCAGACCAUUAGAGGGCGUACCAACUCAAUACUAGUCACUAUGUUGCAACACGGGGAGUUUGAUGUCGCAAUGUAGGGAGUAGAGACCAAGAAUUCCAAGACUACCUUUGGUGUUGUGACACACCCUUAAAGCUACCUUGAGUAUGAGCAUAUUGCCUUUGAUGUUGCAACACAAGCACUAGGUUGUCGCGACAUCAGUCCUGUACAAGAAAUACUUAUGAGUCAAGGGUUUUUUGGUCUGCACAAUCAAAUAUUAAACACGAGAGCGUUAGUUGACCUAGGGUUGAGGAUGAUGGCAACUUUAACUCUAUAAAUAGGUUCAUUUAACACUUAUUAGGGAUAACUUUUCAUACUGUAUAAUUUUCUUUAUAGUUUCAGUUUUUAAUAUUUCCCUUUUUCUUUGUCUUUAGGUUAUUUUCAAUUUUGCAUUUUUCGUGAGAUCAAACUUGUGGAACUCAAUCAACUCUUUGUGGAUUUCGUACUUCAAUUAAAUACAAUCCAGACUUGUCUUAAACCUUCGUAUCUUGAUUUACUAUUCAUGUUCAUCUUUUAUAUCAAUUUUAUUAUGUUUUUUCGAUCCAUUAGGAACUAAUUCUCUUGUGAGGGAUUACCGAGUGGAGGUAUGAUUAAUUGAUUACUGUGUAGGGUUUUUUUAGCGGAUCAGCUAUUUGGGAAAGGAAGAAUUUAAACCCUAGGCUUGACGAUCCUAGGAAGUCAUUUAGAUGGGAAUUAACCCAAAAUAUGUAUGGUCUAUCCAUAAACUAAAGUGAGCUAGUCACUCAUGCUUAGAUCUGAUUAAGUUUCUAUAGAAAAUUUCCCAAAUUUUUUUCUAUUUAUAUUAUUUUAUUUCUUUAGUCACUAAAAAACUCUAUCUUUAUGUUUAGCCAUAAUAUAAUUUAUCUAAAAUACUAAUUAGCUCUAUUUGUGCUUAGGUUAGGAUUAAUUUAGUGCUCUCCUCCCUUAGGUACGAUCCUUGGAGCACUCACCUACUUCGUUGUAACUAUAUUACAACCUGACCCGUAUACUUGCGGAUAUUACCUAUUUAACAUUUUUUUUGCAGGAUUUCUACUCUAGACGUUGGUACGUUUGUAGGCGGUCACUUAGUUGUCCAUAAAGCCUAGAGUGAGCAUGCUAUUAUUCAACAUUUUUGUAUUGAGCCAUUAUUGAAAAGCUAAACAAUCCAAGAAGGCAUGCUCAACAUUUUCCACUUCUCUUGUACAUUUAGGACAAUUCAUGGAUCCUACUAACCUCUUUUGGUAUAGAUUAUAUUUGGUAGGCAAAUAGCUAUUACCCUCCAAUUCAUAAUUUUUAUUUUACCCUCUUUUGGUAUAGAUUAUAUUUGGUAGGCAAAUAGCUAUUACCCUCCAAUUCAUAAUUUUUAUUUUACAAGGUAGAUCUAUAGGGCAGAGUUUUUGUUGUAAAAAAUGUUGUAAUCAUUUUAUUCAUUAUUAAGAGUAGUUGAGUGUGUUUCUUGUAUAAGUAUGUUGUAUCUGCCCCUUAUCGAGUAUUAGCCAGAAGCCUCACCUCGCCAUACCAGUGCCUUCUUAUGGUGUGUAUGGUAGAGGGAUACAUAAAAUCCUUUCAGCCUCUUUUUUUAUUAAAGG